GGCUGCCAGAUCUGUAUUUCUGCCAGAUUCGUAUUUUUGUCGACUGCGCAUGCGCAUCGCGGCGGCCAUCUUGGACGCUGAAAUACGGCAACACCGUCUAGUCAAAUCUGUGUGGUAGACGCUUUUUAGCUUAUGGUGAACAACUUUUUUUGCCUCUUUUUGCAGCUUCGCGAUGAGGGGAUUUGUCUUCUUCAACAAUGUUCAAGCCUUCAUGGCUGAUGGCGUGUUUCAACCCAGCUUGGU